GAUGAAGAACGUAGCGAAAUGCGAUACUUGGUGUGAAUUGCAGAAUCCCGUGAACCAUCGAGUCUUUGAACGCAAGUUGCGCCUCAAGCCAUUAGGUUGAGGGCACGUCUGCCUGGGCGUCACAUAUCGUUGCCUGAUGCCAGUUUCCUCGUGAUGGGUGACUGUGCGGGGCGAAUGAUGGCUUCCCGUGAGCAUUGUUGCCUCAUGGUUGGUUGAAAAUUGAGUCCUUGGUAGGGAGCGCCGUGAUAGAUGGUGGUUGAGUGACGAACGAGACCCAAUCAUGUGAGACCCCUACCGAAUUUGGCCUUCAUGACCCACAUGCGUCUUUGGAACGCUCAUGACGAGACCUCAGGUCAGGCGGGGCUACCCGCUGAGUUUAAGCAUAUCAAUAAGCGGAGGA
rnacentral:misc_RNA from 1 species